rnacentral:lncRNA from 1 species
AUAGUUGCAUCACUUUAGUUCUUCAUAAGAGGUGUCGGCUUGUUCUCUUCGUAUGAUAUUUGUCUUCAACUUGACAAACCCAACCUUUGAUUAAUUUCUCUUUGAGAUGUUCCAUUUUUCAAUUUAUAUUAGUAACGUUUUGUAUGCCUAAGAAACGAACUUUGUAAUAAAAAAAGAUUCCAUUGGUGGCAGUUCCAUUGAAACAUGUUGUGAAGAUUUUGACAUUGCUGGUGCCUUUAUCAGCCGUCUAGAUUUGCCUGUCACUGACAUUUGUAAAUCCAAAGAGCUAUACUUGGUUGGUGAGCUUCAUACUUGUCUAUAUAUUUUUCUGCCGAUAUAUUCGCUUCUCCUUUUUCACACUUAAGUCAGGCUAUUGUCUACUUGUUUUCUUCAUACCAGCUGCCUCUUUACUUCAUUGCAUCACUCAGAUGCAAUGGUCUAUUAAUGGUUGGGUUGGCAGUUCUGUUACAAAAGGAAUUUUCACAGCUUUUCAUUUAAGUUUUUCCAUGACACGUUUAAACAGUACAUUUGCUUUAUUAACUGCUUCGAUCUUUUAACAUUAUAAAAGUUGGGACUGAGAGUGGGUAGGCUUCACAAAAGCCAUCAGUGAAAAAUAAUCGUACUUUGUUUAAUGUGCUCUUUGGAUAUUCAUACCUGCUAGUUUCGUCUUGUAGGAUAUUAUUGAAGCCAAGGAUUUCAUAGAGACAAUAGGGGUCCAUGUUGGUUUGAAUUCAAUGACAGAUCUAUGAUCGUGGCUAUUUGAGAUAUACCCGCAGUGAAAAUAUUUCCUUAACAGAGCAAUUCUUGAGAUGAUGGAACGUAAUUUAAUAUAAAUCUCUUUAUUUUUUUCGCUAGGUUUUCGUUCCAAUCCUUAAUUUUAU